rnacentral:rRNA from 1 species
UACAGAGGUGGCAAGCGUUGCCCGGUAUCACUGGGCUUAAAGGGCGCGUAGGCGGCGGGGUAAGUCGGGUGUGAAAUCUCGGAGCUUAACUCCGAAACUGCAUUCGAUACUGGCGUGCUUGAGGACUGGAGAGGAGACUGGAAUUCAUGGUGUAGCAGUGAAAUGCGUAGAGAUCAUGAGGAAGACCAGUGGCGAAGGCGGGUCUCUGGACAGUUCCUGACACUGAGACACGAAGGCCAGGGGAGCAAACGGG